rnacentral:rRNA from 1 species
CCAGCAGCCGCGGUAAUUCCAGCUCCAAUAGCGUAUACUAAAGUUGUUGCGGUUAAAAAGCUCGUAGUUGGAUCUUGGAAUGUGUUCAAGCGGGUCAGCUUCUGGCUGUGCGCUGCUUGACGUGUUCUUCUAUUUGGUUUUGGUGCGGUGCGCUUAACUGCGUGUCGCUCCCGGCCGAAACGUUUACCUUGAAAAAAUUAGAGUGUUCAAAGCAGACCUGUUUGAGUCUGAAUAUUCGUGCAUGGAAUAAUGAAAUAUGAAUUCGGUUCUAUUUUGUUGGUUUUCGGAACUCGAGUUAAUGAUCAAGAGGGACAGACGGGGGCAUUCGUACUCUGCCGUUAGAGGUGAAAUUCUUGGAUCGGCGGAAGACGCGCAACUGCGAAAGCAUUUGCCAAGAAUGUUUUCUUUAAUCAAGAACGAUAGUCGGAGGUUCGAAGACGAUCAGAUACCGUCCUAGUUUCGACUGUAAACUAUGCCAGCUAACGAUCAGACAGAGUUCUCUACGACUUGUCUGGCAGUUUCCGGGAAACCAAAGCGUUUGGGUUCCGGGGGAAGUAUGGUUGCAAAGCUGAAACUUAAAGGAAUUGACGGAAGGGCACCACCAGGAGUGGAGCCUGCGGCUUAAUUUGACUCAACACGGGGAAACUCACCCGGCCCGGACACAGUGAGGAUUGACAGAUUGAGAGUUCUUUCUUGAUUCUGUGGGUGGUGGUGCAUGGCCGUUCUUAGUUGGUGGAGCGAUUUGUCUGGUUAAUUCCGAUAACGAACGAGACUCUGGCAUGUUAAAUAGUCGCGUAAGUGCGUAUGCACUUGCCGAAUUGACUUCUUAGAGGGACUAGUGAUUUUAAUUCACACGAGAUUGAGCAAUAACAGGUCUGUGAUGGCCCA